rnacentral:rRNA from 1 species
UACAGGAUUCCCCUAGUACGGCGAGUGAAGCGGGAAGAGCUCAAAUUUGAAAUCUGGUAGCCUUCGGUUGCCCGAGUUGUAAUCUAGAGAAGUGUUUUCCGUGCCGGCCCAUGUACAAGUCCCUUGGAACAGGGCGUCAUAGAGGGUGAGAAUCCCGUCCUUGACAUGGACCCCCGGUGCUUUGUGAUACACUUUCAACGAGUCGAGUUGUUUGGGAAUGCAGCUCAAAAUGGGUGGUGAAUUCCAUCUAAAGCUAAAUAUUGGCGAGAGACCGAUAGCGAACAAGUACCGUGAGGGAAAGAUGAAAAGCACUUUGGAAAGAGAGUUAAACAGUACGUGAAAUUGUUGAAAGGGAAACGAUUGAAGUCAGUCAUGCUCUUGGGACUUACCUCCCUUGAGUGGGGUCAACAUCAGUUUUGAUCGAUGGAUAAAGGCACGGGGAAGGUAGCACUCUCGGGUGAACUUAUAGCCUCGCGUCAUAUACAUUGAUUGGGACUGAGGAACGCAGCAUGCCUUAUGGCCGGGAUUCGUCCACGUACAUGCUUAGGAUGUUGACAUAAUGGCUUUAAACGACCCGCUGGGAAAACCCCGACCAA